rfam:Mesocricetus auratus contig019835, whole genome shotgun sequence.
CUGGAUAUGGCUCAGCAGUUAAGAGCACUGGUUGCUCUUCCAGAGGACCUGGGUUUAAUUCCCAGCACCCACA